AGGACGAACGCUGGCGGCGUGCUUAACACAUGCAAGUCGUGGGGGGGUAGCAAUACCUCACCGGCGAACGGGUGCGUAACACGUGAGCAACAUUCCGAUUUCUGGGGGAUAGCCGGCCCAACGGCCGGGUAAUACCGCAUACGCUCAUUGAGAGGAGUCUCUCGAUGAGGAAACCUCCGGGGGAAAUCGAGUGGCUCGCGGCCUAUCAGCUAGUUGGCGGGGUAAUGGCCCACCAAGGCAAUGACGGGUAGC
rnacentral:rRNA from 1 species